rnacentral:rRNA from 1 species
AGCGCGUGCAGCAAUGCAUGGCGGCGACCGGCGCAAGGGUGCGUAACGCGUGAGCAAUCUGCCCGUAUCAGGGGGAUAAGCGAUGGAAACGUCGUCUAAUACCGCAUAACAACUUAGGAGGCAUCUUUUGAGUUUGAAAGCUUUGGCGGAUACGGAUGAGCUCGCGAGACAUUAGCUAGUUGGCGGGGUAACGGCCCACCAAGGCUGCGAUGUCUAGGGGAACUGAGAGGUUGGUCCCCCACACUGGAACUGAGACACGGUCCAGACUCCUACGGGAGGCAGCAGUGAGGAAUAUUGGACAAUGGCCGGAAGGCUGAUCCAGCCAUGCCGCGUGGAGGUUUAAGGUCCUAUGGAUUGUAAACUCCUUUUGUACGAGAGCAAUAAGGUGUACGCGUACACCGAUGAGAGUAUCGUACGAAUAAGCAUCGGCUAACUCCGUGCCAGCAGCCGCGGUAAUACGGAGGAUGCGAGCGUUAUCCGGAUUUAUUGGGUUUAAAGGGUGCGUAGGCGGUUUGUCAAGUCAGCGGUGAAACGCACGGGCUCAACCUGUGACCUGCCGUUGAAACUGUCGGACUGGAAUGCGGAUGCUGUGGGAGGAAUGAGUAGUGUAGCGGUGAAAUGCAUAGAUAUUACUCAGAACACCGAUUGCGAAGGCAUCUCACGAAUCCGUCAUUGACGCUGA